rnacentral:lncRNA from 1 species
GUCAAAUCAGAAAAAGAACCUGACCGUGAGGACUAGAGUAAGAGGCUGUGAAGACUGCCGCCUCCUCGCACGACCCACACCGUCGAGUGUCCGGAGAUGGACGGGAAAAGCUACCACAGUGGCAUGGCCUUAUUUCCUGUGAGUCGCCUUUAAUUCAAACCUAGACAGACGCACGCCCUGCCCGGCCCUCCUCAGACCCGAGAGCUGCGCUGUGAGGGGACGCGCCUCCCCUCGUUGAUGAGAAUUCGCUGCCACGCUUUUUGCACAGGCGAGAGCCUCACCGCGGCGGCAACUCUACCACGUGGACAAAGGCACAGCCGUGUCUCAUUCUCGACAAUGGAGGAGGGCGUGGGGUAUGCACUAGGGGCUGUCUCGGGGGUCAGACCGCCGGGGGACGGCAACGUACCUGCGCGGCGACGUCCAGGGUCAGCGCGGGCCGCGGCCCCCACGGUCGGGACGCCCCCCGCGUGGGACGCAGUUCCACUGAGGGGCCGGCCGCGGAGGUCACAAGGUGGGCCCACCGAAGCCUCUGGUAGGGGCACGGGAAGAGCCGCCUUUCUCUCCUCCUCCUCCUUCUUGGAGGCUUACUCUGGGUCACCGGGGCCCCAGAGCCGGGGGACUUUCCGGCGCAGUUCCGCG